rnacentral:lncRNA from 13 species
CUGUGGCAUUAAUCAACAAGGAGAUUUUCAUUUUAUUUAAUUUUAUUUCACCUUUAUUUAACCAGGUAGGGUAGUUGAGAACAAGUUCUCAUUUGCAACUGCGACCUGGCCAAGAUAAAGCAAAGCAGUUCGACACAACACAGAGUUACACAUGGAGAUAAAAGCUGGCGGUCAAUGUAGUGCCUUAAUGUCAGUUAAUCUGCCGAGGCCUGGCUGUCACUCGUUCACUUAGACCAAUCAGGUCACACUCCACCUGAUGUGAUUCAAUGAAAACGCAGGGAUUUGCCUGAGCUUUUUCCUCUUCUUCAACAAAUAAAUGAAACAGACUCAAAUGAACCACUAUUUGUGCUGCCCCUGAAAAGCAGAGUUACAGUAAAGAACCUGUGAUGUCACGACCUGCCACCGAUUUACACUAAUCCACUCAAUCCAGGAGGGAGACUGACUGGGCUACAACCAGGUCACAGGUGAGUUGGUGUUGGGGGACAGAAGGAGACUGACUGGGCUACAACCAUGUCACAGGUGAGUAGGUGUUGGGGGACAGAGGGAGACUGGGCUACAACCAGGUCACAGGUGAGUAGGUGUUGGGGGACAGAGGGAGACUGGGCUACAACCAGGUCACAGGUGAGUAGGUGUUGGGGGACAGAGGGAGACUGGGCUACAACCAGGUCACCAGUGAGUAGGUUCUGGGGACAGAGGAUGUAGUGCUCUUUCCUCCAACUGACAGACUAAUAUGAGAAUGGUACAGUUGGGCUAUAAUGUAAUGUGUCAGCACUUUGUGUGACAAAGGGAGAAGGAAUGGAGGGAGCUUGUCAUUUCAUCAUUGCUGUCAUUGGAGCACCAGUCUGCUCACAUCAGCCUCAUCAGUAUUUUAGACCUCAUAAUAUGCGGAUGUGUUAUUUGCAUUGUGUAAGGAUGUCUAGGACAACAGUGGUCUGUGUAUUCUGCAAGUAGGGUCCAUCCAUAGUUUUAAACUUGAAUAAAAUAUACAAUUGAACAAACUUGACCAAUAUUCAGAAAAACAACCCCAAAACAGCCAUGUUAUUACUGCCAUGCCUAACUUUAGCGUACCCUAAAAUCUCAAUGUUAAUCAUGUAAGCUGGCUAAUGAAUUGAUCCUACUAUGUGAAAUGACCAUACUGACCACUGACUAAGGCUGAACACAGUGAUGAAAGCAAUACUGUUACUGCCCCCUGCUGAUACGAAGAUGAACAUUUGGCAAGUGUGAUGUUUGUUACCUCUUGGAUCAGGCAACUAUAACACCACACACUACAAAGUGAAGAUAAUAUCAAUUAAGCAUUGUAUUAUUUGGUCUGACAGGGACACAUAUGGAUGACAUUAUAAAGAACAUGUAAAACAACAUGGCAUCAAGCUCUAUGUAAGUUCAGACUAUGAGUACUGGUGGUGGAUGAGAGCAGGGACUGAGUGGCCUCAUCGCCCAGGACCUCUCCCCUCCUCCUGGGACUGAACACUGAGGAGGAUGGGUCCAUGAGGGAGACCGCCACCUGCCCACACCCUCCCCCCACCGUCCAUCACCAGGCCUCCCUGCACAGACCCAGCCUACCUCCCCUCACCCUGCCUGCCAGCUGCACAUUACACACUAGGAAGUGACAGAGGGGCAGGCAAACCAGUGCAAAGCCCAGCACACACAGAGAGGCCACUAUGGGAUACCCUCCAAAGUCCAGAACCUUGUAGAUAGAUGUAAGGCUUCCCAACGAGGUUGGUGUAGCCAGCCAGCAGGCCACAGCAAACAGGAUGUAGAGGCAGCUAAUGAAGAGCUGGUUGAGAUAGUGGGCCAAGUGGACGGGCGCAGCUGAGAAGAGGUCCAGAAGGGCCUGGGCAGAGUUGCUGAUGUGCAUGUUGAGGUUGAAGGGGGACAGAGGGUGGUGCUCCAUGGGGGAGUCGAGACUCCAGUAGAGGAAGGACACAGUGAGGCAGAAGGCACACAUCAGGCUGUGGAAGA